rnacentral:lncRNA from 1 species
GCCGAACCCCGCGGCCGCCACCCACCUUUGCAGUUGAAGCCUGUGGGGUUGUGGUAAUCCAGGGCCGUGAGCUUGCGUCGGAACAUGGUCCCCGCUGCUCGCGCUGGCCGCCCGGGCCUCCGCCGGGACAGGAGAAGCGAGGUGAGGCGGGCGGCGCAGGCACCGGCGACGCGGCGAGGGGGCGGGGCGAUGACCGACGCUCCGGACGGACGGCAGACGGAGCCAAUCGCGGCUUAGAAACGCCCUCAGCCCGUAAGAACUCGCCAAUCACCGCUACUGCUGAGGAGGCGGGGCCACGUCGGGGCACGUCGACGCUCAAAUAAACUUUAUUGUCAGCUUCCUAUUUGUACAAUGGACCGAAAGCAAGGCGGAAGCCGAGAUUAGUGGAUCUAACUCCUUUUCUUGCUACAGUAGGCAAAACCAAAACCCCAAACCAAACCAAAUAAACAAA